rnacentral:rRNA from 1 species
CCUACGGGUGGCAGCAGUCGAGAAUCAUUCACAAUGGGGGAAACCCUGAUGGUGCGACGCCGCGUGGGGGAAUGAAGGUCUUCGGAUUGUAAACCCCUGUCAUGUGGGAGCAAAUUAAAAAGAUAGUACCACAAGAGGAAGAGACGGCUAACUCUGUGCCAGCAGCCGCGGUAAAACAGAGGUCUCAAGCGUUGUUCGGAAUCACUGGGCGUAAAGCGUGCGUAGGCUGUUUCGUAAGUCGUGUGUGAAAGGCGCGGGCUCAACCCGCGGACGGCGCAUGAUACUGCGAGACUAGAGUAAAGGAGGGGGAACCGGAAUUCUCGGUGUAGCAGUGAAAUGCGUAGAUAUCGAGAGGAACACUCGUGGCGAAGGCGGGUUCCUGGACAUUAACUGACGCUGAGGCACGAAGGCCAGGGGAGCGAAAGGGAUUAGAUACCCCAGUAGUC